AAGAGGCUGAAGAGAGAUGUGGAGCCCACCUACAGUAGGACCAGCCUUGGGCCUGAUGAGAGCUUGGCCCAGAGCCCCCAAGUUCAUCAUUCACAAUGAUGCCUCAGAAACCCUCCCAGAGCCCCACACCCUCCAACAGAUGUCACCCUGGAGCCAGCCGUGGAAGAUGUGCAGGGUGAACACAGCGACACCGGCCCCCGGUCCCUCAGCGGGGUCAUCCUGUCAGCACUGGGGCCCAAGAACUCCUCGACUCGCUGCACUCCUACUGCUUCUGCUCCCCGGGGAACAGGAGCACAGGUGCCGCCUGCGGGAGCAGGUGGAGAAGGACAGCGAGCUGAAGAGGGGCAGCUGCCGACAGCCAGGUGCGCACUCUGCAGGAGGAGCUGGACGAGCUGAAGGGAGGGGGCUCCCUGCCUUAGCAGCCUGCUGCCCCCAGCCGAGUUUGGUGGCAGCAGUGGGAUCCAAAGGAGACGCCUGAUGGCUUCGAGGAUGAGAAACAGUCAUUGGUACCCGCAAAACCUUUGAGUUCUCCAUCUUUUUCGCUGUUUCUGAGGGCUGUGGGAGAUGAGCUGCCGUGACCCUCUUACCCUUGUCCGGUGUGAGCUUCUGGAGGCCACUGAGGCAGAGCCAGAUGCGUCAGCUGCAGAGCUCCAGCCAGCGGCAGAAGAAGAGUAGUGGGCAGUGGUGGAGGUAGAGCUGGCUCCAGCUCUGUUGACACCACCCCCUCUAGCACUGGAGCCAGUGUCCCCUCCACCAGCAGUGUUGGAGGUGGAGCAAGGGCCAACAUGGGCUCCAGCAGGAGUGGGAGCUGCUUAGCUGGAGUCACCUGGACCAUCAUUUCUAGUGAGAAGUCCAUCUCCACCUGUGGCUCUUAAGGAGCGUGAGAAGCUUAAUCUCACGGCCUUCCUUCCUAAGCUGGUGGUGGAGCAGUUGACCAUGAUGGAUGCGGAGUGCAAGAUCCUGAAGAACUUCUCCUCGCCCUGCACUGUAAUCUCUGCUCUGCAGAAAACCUCCACAAGCCACCUGAAGAACACACGGGGGAAGUUUCCCGGGAGAGCUCUGAAAAAUUUAAGGAGAGCUAUAGCCAAGACGUGUCCUUGAACAGAGAACUGAUGACCAAGGAGGGGCCCUCCACGUUUGCCCCCCGGAGAGCAACCCCCAGAGAGUGCAGGAGAAGCAGCAGCAGCAGCAGGGGAAUGAGAUCAACCUUGAGAAGAGGACUGAGGAGCAGCUGUGGCACUCCCUGCAGGGGAGGGGAAGGAGGUGGAAAUCAGAAACCCUCUGGGGAGAACAGUUUCUGGCUCCACCCCUUGUAUCUUACAUUGAGUGGAAGAUUUUGGUAGAAGUCGAGACCCAUCCAGUUGGCGCGUGGGUUGAGGGGAGGAUGGCAUCAAGGAAAACUUCCUGGAGGAGGGGCUGAUUAUUCCCAUUCUGAGAACAGGUAGAUCCUGGAUGGAACUGGAGGGAAGGAGCGUUCCCAGGACUGGUCCUCUGCUCCAGUCCUCACCCCCCACAAGGCCCCUGCAGCAUCCCCCACUCAGGCCCUGUCUGCAUCCUCUCCUUCCCUCUGGUCCCAGGAAUACCGAGUCAUGAGGGAGAUCCUGCUGCUCCAGGUCGCUGCAAAAAAUUAUAACAAGACCCCAAGGAGUGAUUUGGGGCCUGGUUCCAGGACAUGGAGCUGCUCAACGAGAAUGAGUCAAACACCAAGGGUAGAGGUCUUCAAGAGAUCAAGUCUAAUCUACCUACGGGUGUGGCAGGCUUACCUAUGGAUGUUCAAGCCAGACAUUGCCAGAAGAACUACAUCUCUUCACCCAUAGAAAAAUGAAUGAUGUGACCAUUUGGUGCAGGACAACAGCAUUAUGUUCACCAGUCUCUGUACUGUAUGUUACUGCACAGCACGGACUGUAGGAAAAAGCCCAGAGGAGCAAUGAAGACAAAGAAGACACGACACCUGCAAAAAGUCAGUGGAGUAUUUCUACACAACAAUCCUUCCAGGUGAGUGACGGUCAGUAUCUUCCACUGCUCCAGCUCUCGCAAGAAACCUAGUACCUUCCCAGGGUAAGCUGGAGGACCACGUCCCACUAGUCCACUCCCCGCCCAGGGCCUGUUUGUGCAGGGUGACUGCCAUCAAGCAGACAAUGGACUCAGGAUGGGGCCUGUGUCUUUGGGGAGGCUGGUAGAGAGGCACAAAGUCGAACACCAGCUAAGGGCACACACCUGAGAGGUGGAGUUCCAGGUGGAGACUCAAAAUGUACCAAGAAACUGCGUGAAGGAAGCUACUCGACCUCCCUGAGCCUCAGUGUCCCCCCCUGUAAAAUGGGAAUCACAGGCCUACUUCACAGAGCUGUUGGUGAAGAUACAUAAAAGUGCCUGUGACAGCCAGUGUCCACAUUAUUAACAAAGCCGUCUCCGACUUCAGAAUAAUCGAUGAAAAGAAUAAU